UUUAAACAAAACAAUUUUUUUUUCUCAGAAAAAUACCCAAAAAAAUCUCUUAAAUUUUUAUAUGAUUAGUACUCAAGCUUUUGAAGUUUAAGGGACCAUGCCAACAAUCUUCAAUUUCUUUCUCAUCUUCUUCACCAUAGUUAUUUGCUUUACAGCAGCCAACAUUGAAGCACAACCUGGUCAACUUCCUAAAGAUGAAGUGGAAGCUCUUAGAGAAAUAGCUGAUCAAUUGGGGAAAAAAGAUUGGGAUUUUAAGCUAAACCCUUGUGAUGGGAACUCAAAUUGGAGCACACCCAAAAGGAAAGAUAUGCCUUUGUAUAACAAUACCCUAGAAUGCAAUUGCACUUUCCCUGAUAAUCUUUGUCAUGUGGAAAAUAUAUUUCUCAAAGGACAGGAUCUUUCAGGUGUCCUCCCAGCAUCUCUGGCGAAGUUACCAUAUCUGAAGAAAAUUGAUCUCAACCGCAACUACUUAAGUGGUACAAUUCCGCCUGAAUGGGCGUCUACCAAGUUGGAAUUCAUGGCUAUUUCUAAUAAUCGGUUAUCUGGGCAUGUCCCAGAGUACAUAGGAAAUAUGACCUCACUUGUGAUAUUGAGUUUGGAGACUAACUGGUUUAAUGGAUCGUUACCAGCAGAAGUAGGGAAUCUGGUCAAUUUACAGAUUCUCAUUCUCAAAGCUAAUAAUUUCACAGGAGAGUGGCCAGUGGAACUGAAUAAUCUUACGAAAUUGAUUGAACUUAGGAUAACCAGUAACAGCUUUGUUGGUAAACUGCCUAACUUUGAGAGUUGGAAAAACCUCCAGAAGUUAGAAAUUGAAGGUUCUGGAUUUGAAGGACCACUACCCCCAAGUUUUUCUGUUUUGACCAGUUUGGAAGAACUAAGAAUCAGUGACCUCAACGGAGGUGCUUCAGAAUUCAUCACUUACAAACAUGACCAGGAUGUCUAAAUUGGUUUUGAGAAGCUGUAAUAUACAUGGGAAUAUUCAUGAUUCUGUAGCUGAAAUGGUCAACUUACGGUUUUUAGAUCUGAGUUUCAACAAGCUUGAAGGAGGAAUUGCGAAUCUCGAGGGUGUGAAUAAGAUGGAGGCCACGUAUCUGACUGGCAAUGAUUUUGUUGGGCAAAUUCCAGAUUGGCUUACUAGUCGAGAUACCAGAAAUGUGAUAGACCUUUCCUACAAUAAAUUUGAUGAAAGCUCUGAACCAUCUACCUGUCGGGACAACCUAAACUUAUUCAGAAGCUUUAAGGUCGAGAAUUUUGUAGAGCGCGGGAAGUGCUUCUCAGCCAGGCCGUGUUCAGAGGACAAGUACUCAUUGCACAUAAAUUGUGGUGGAGGAAAUGUAACUGUUGGAGACACUACUUAUAUAGCAGAUGAAGACUCAGCAGGUGCUGCAAAGUUUGUUUACUGGAAAGGGAACUGGGGAACCAGCAGUACAGGACAUUUCUGGGAUACCGACGUAUCGUUGAAUGACCACAAAGCAAAAAAUGUAUCUGCUAUCAAGGGAGAUGAAUCUCAACUUUACAUGACAGCUCACCUCUCCCCUUUAUCUAUGACUUACUUUGGACGUUGCUUGGCAAAUGGAAACUACACUUUGACACUUCAUUUCGCAGAAAUAGUUUACAGAGACAACCAAUCUUUCCAAAGUCUUGGAAGACGAAUAUUUGAUGUAUACAUACAGGACAAAUUGAAGUUUAAAGAUUUUGAUAUUAAAAGACUAGCCGGAGGAGUUGAUAGAGCUUUGAAAGAAAAGUUUAAUGUAACAGUGAAAGAUAAAACUGUACAAGUGCGCUUCCAGCAUGCUGGGAAAGGAACUACAUCAAUCCCGAUUAGUGGACACUAUGGUCCUUUAGUAUCUGCCAUCUCUCUGGAAGCUAACUUCAAGCCCCCUCCUCCGCUGGAGAUCUCUUCUAAUCAGAAAAAGAAGAUUCUAAUUGUAGCUGGAGCAGUGGUGUCUUCUUUAGCUCUUGUUCUGAUGAUUUUCUUUGUUGCUUGGAAGAAAAGAAGAAACAGGAAAUUGAUGGAACAAGAAUUAAGAGGGCUUGAUCUGCAAACUGGUAUAUUUACUUUCAGACAAAUUAAAGCUGCCACAAGUAACUUUGAUGCUGCAAAUAAGCUUGGUGAAGGUGGAUUUGGAUCUGUCUACAAGGGUACACUAGCAGAUGGUACUAUAAUUGCUGUCAAACAGCUUUCAUCCAAGUCAAGACAAGGGAACCGUGAAUUUGUGAAUGAAAUAGGCAUGAUGUCAGGCUUACAUCACCCAAAUCUUGUCCAACUCUACGGAUGUUGUGUUGAAUGGAACCAACUUUUACUAGUUUAUGAGUACAUGGAGAACAAUAACCUUACCCAUGUUUUGUUUGGUCCUGAAGACUGUCAGCCAAAACUGGACUGGCCAACUAGGCAAAAGAUCUGUGUUGGCAUAGCUAAAGGCUUGGCUUACCUACAUGAAGAAUCACCUCUAAAGAUGAUUCAUAGAGACAUCAAAGGAACCAAUGUACUCCUUGACAAAGACCUAAAUCCAAAGAUCUCGGACUUUGGUCUGGCCAAACUUCAUGACGAGGAGAAAACACAUGUCACCACCAGGGUUGCUGGGACUAUAGGUUAUAUGGCCCCUGAAUAUGCACUCUGGGGUUAUUUAACACAUAAAGCAGAUUUAUAUAGUUUUGGAGUGGUUGUAUUAGAACUCGUUGCUGGGAAGAACAACAUGAAAUAUCAUCCUGAUGAGAAUUAUGUCUGUCUUCUUGAUUGGGCCCUGGUGGUACAAAAAAAAGCCAAGUUUUUGGAGCUAGUAGACCCAAGGUUAGGUUCCAAUUACGACAAGAAGGAGGCGUUGAGGAUGAUUAAAGUGGCAUUACGAUGUACUAAUCCAUCUCCAGCACUAAGGCCAAACAUGUCUGCAGUGGUGAACAUGCUUGAAGGUCGUUUGAACGUCGAUGAGUCUAACUUCGAUUCAAGUGGCUACGGUGAUGAAUUGAAUUUUCAAGGUUUAAGAGACAAAUAUGAUGAGAUGCAAGUAACUUCUAGUGAAAACCAAUCAGUCUUUUUUUCAACUGACACAAAGGGUACUGAUCACUCUUCUUCUACCUUUCCUUCUACAUCUACCUCUAAAUAAGUCUCCCUGUAUGCUCAAUGUUGUAUUAUAUAAGACGAAAAAACUAUGAAGAAU